rnacentral:rRNA from 1 species
GGGAUUCGAUUAGAGUUUGAUUAUGGCUCAGAGCGAACGCUGGCGGCAGGCUUAACACAUGCAAGUCGAGCGCCCGUAGCAAUACGGGAGCGGCAGACGGGAGAGUAACACGUGGGAACGUACCCUUCGGUUCGGAAUAACCCAGGGAAACUUGGGCUAAUACCGGAUACGUCCGUAAGGAGAAAGAUUUAUCGCCGAGGGAUCGGCCCGCGUCCGAUUAGCUAGUUGGUGGGGUAAUGGCCCACCAAGGCGACGAUCGGUAGCUGGUCUGAGAGGAUGAUCAGCCUCACUGGGACUGAGACACGGCCCAGACUCCUACGGGAGGCAGCAGUGGGGAAUAUUGGACAAUGGGCGCAAGCCUGAUCCAGCCAUGCCGCGUGGGUGAUGAAGGCCUUAGGGUUGUAAAGCCCUUUCGGCGGGGAAGAUAAUGACGGUACCCGCAGAAGAAGCCCCGGCUAACUUCGUGCCAGCAGCCGCGGUAAUACGAAGGGGGCUAGCGUUAAUCGGAAUUACUGGGCGUAAAGCGUGCGCAGGCGGUUCGUUAAGUCAGAUGUGAAAGCCCCGGGCUUAACCUGGGAACGGCAUUUGAGACUGGCGAGCUGGAGUCUGGCAGAGGGGGGUGGAAUUCCACGUGUAGCAGUGAAAUGCGUAGAGAUGUGGAG